GAUGAACGCUGGCGGCGUGCUUAACACAUGCAAGUCGAACGGAAAGGCCCAAGCUUGCUUGGGUACUCGAGUGGCGAACGGGUGAGUAACACGUGGGUGAUCUGCCCCGCACUUCGGGAUAAGCCUGGGAAACUGGGUCUAAUACCGGAUAGGACAGUGGUUUGGAUGCCAUUGUGGAAAGUUUUUUCGGUGUGGGAUGAGCUCGCGGCCUAUCAGCUUGUUGGUGGGGUAAUGGCCUACCAAGGCGUCGACGGGUAGCCGGCCUGAGAGGGUGUACGGCCACAAUUGGGAUGGGAUACGGCCCAGGCUCCCACGGGGGGCAGCAGGGGGGGAUAUUUCACAAUUGGGGGAAGCCUGAUGCAACGGAGGCGGGGUGGGGAUGGCCGCCUUCGGGUUGUAAACUCCUUUCGCUAGGGACGAAGCGUUAUGUGACGGUACCUAGAGAAGAAGCACCGGCUAACUACGUG
rnacentral:rRNA from 1 species